UGAGAGAAGUGUCGGCAUGUCAGACAACAUUUUCAAUAACUAAACACUAACACAAUGUUAACUUUACUCACCAACAGUAAAACGAUGCUUACUAGCUACUGUUGGCCAUUUCAGCAUCAUAUCUGACCGACCACUGUGCAAACAUUACUAUUAUCUUCACCAACCUAGCUUUGUGGACUUUUGACUACUAAUAACCAAGUGAAAGAUAAAUCAUUUAUGGUAAUUACGUUACCUGUCGAGAAGAAAUGUGGCUACGUCUGCAUCGUUCUUCAGAUCUUUAAAAUCCUGCAGCUCACGCCACCUCUGAAAAGCCACUCCAAUAUUCACCCGAGUUU